rnacentral:rRNA from 1 species
AAACCAGCACCUCAAGUGGUCAGGAUGAUUAUUGGGCCUAAAGCAUCCGUAGCCGGCUCUGUAAGUUUUCGGUUAAAUCUGUACGCUUAACGUACAGGCUGCCGGAAAUACUGCAGAGCUAGGGAGUGGGAGAGGUAGACGGUACUCGGGAGGAAGGGGUAAAAUGCUUUGAUCUCUCGAUGACCACCUGUGGCGAAGGCGGUCUACCAGAACACGUCCGACGGUGAGGGAUGAAAGCUGGGGGAGCAAACCGGAUUAGAAACCCGGGUAGUCC